ACGAGCGUGGCGGAACUGGUAGACGCGCUGGAUUUAGGUUCCAGUGGGCUUGCCCGUGGGGGUUCGAUUCCCCCCGCUCGUACCA
rnacentral:tRNA from 1 species